rnacentral:sRNA from 1 species
GCGGAAGCGGCGGCCGGGCCGCCCUGCGCCCGGGCGGGGCCCUGCGGUGUGGCCGUGGCUUGUUCCUGCCGCUUUCGCACCCUGCGGCCCCCCACCCGGUGCAGCAGUGCGGGCGGGCGUGAGCCUCGGUGCAGCAGGAGUCCCUUCCCGCGGGAGGCGCUGGGCUCGCGCUAAUUGGGGCGGGCGGGGGGGGGGGGCGGCGGGGGAGGAGGGAGCUGGCGCGCGGCUUGGUUUCCAUUAGAGACGCAAAGUUUCUGCUCCGGGAGGAGGCGGCGGCGCCGCGGGCUCGUCGCCUGGGGGAGCAGAAGCGGGUGGGAGGUGCGGGUGGCCUUGGCCGCGGCCCUGGUGCGCGGGGGCCGGGGAUGGUGACCCUCCUGGCCGAGGAGGGGCGGCGUCCAGACGCCCGCUCGGGGGCCGCCUUCCCCCCCACGCCUGCCCCCGGGCACGCGGCCUGCCCGGUCCCUCGCCCCGCGCCACUUCCAGUCCGCAGAGGGAUGCCCUCCACGUUUCUGCUUUCUCUGCAGCUUCUAGAUUGCCAGAUGCGACUGUGCGCCUCGCUGGGUGUGUUUUCCACAGCCCCUUCCUCCUCGGCGUGCAGGGCUGACAUCACCGACUGCGUUUCUGGUUUGGCGGGUGGGGAGAUGGUUCCCUGCAGGGUUCUGGUACACCUUUGCCCCCAGGGCUAGCGCCAUUUGGGGGAGGAGGAUUUCGUUGUCGAGAAAGUUGGAUGCUCCUGGUAACCCCUCUAACAAGAGAGUUUUGUAGCGAGGUGGGACUGUUCUCCCCAUAAGGUGACAGUUUCUCUUGCGAGGUGUGGCAGCGCUUCCUGUUGUACAAGACAGAUGUUGCCUUGGCGUUACGUAAAUCAUCGUGUCUCCCUCAUUUAAAGAAAGCCAAUUUUUAGUGAUUGAGGUAGAAAGAAAGAUCCGUUUAUAAUUUGUAAAAACAAGUUUUCACCCAGAAUCAAUAUAUUGGAACACCAUUCCUACUGUUAAAGUUUUCACUUAAGAGUAUAAACUUCAUCAGCUUUCUAUUAGGACUUAUUUUGUAAUUGGCUUCUUAGGCAUCCUUCUUUAAAAGAGAAAUCCACGUUAGCUCUCCUUGAGGUCUCGAGUUCCCUCGGCUGGAGGCACAGGUUCAGUGGAGACCAAAUAAUGCAGGUGAAUUACCUUCGUGGCCAUUACUGCCUCGAACGAAGUGUGUUUAUUAAGAACAGUUCUUUUGUCAUUCUUAAGGUAGGUAGGGUUAAUACUCUCCAGCAAAUUUAGUAGAUACUCUUUGCCAGAAAAGAGAGGAGUAUAUAUAGUUUGAUAAUUAUUGUGUAGUUUUCUGUGUACUUAAUUUUUGCAAUUUUGUAACACUUCAUUUGUAAGAUGGUACCAUUUUUUCCUGGCUUCUGAAUCAUAGGAUAGUUUGACCCAGGGCAUUAGCCAUUGUAAUGGUAGGCUUUUAACAAAUAACUGCCUAAUUUAAAGGAUUGGAAAGCAUUUGUUACAUGGAAAUGAAGUUGGUGGCGUACCCAGUUGCUGUAUCUUUAUUUUUUCUACUUAAUUAUUUCUCAUAAAAUGGAUAUAAAAGCCUGUUAAUCCAACCCAAUGCCAUUAUGUAACGCCAGUUUGGAGAUUUCGAGGGCCUGGAGCAGUGCGCAAGGUGCGCUGAAAGCCUGCCCCUGGAUGAGAUCCUUAUCCUGGCUGUGGUGGCAGUGGCAGUGGGCUGGGUCCCUUGUUGAGUGGAAAGGGGGACUGCGGUGUCCAUGGUGCAGUAGGUGGCGCUCUUCUGUCUUAGAGCCUGCCGCCACUGCAGCUGGUGCCAAGGGGCCUUCUGCCACUAGAGGUGCCAUUUUUCACAUGAUGAACUUAGCCUAGUUAGAUCGCAGAGCAAGCUGUAAGCCAUGGGCCCAGAAAAGAAAACUUGAAGUGAGCAGAUGUUGUCACUUCCUUGUAAUCCUUUGUUAAAAUAGCAUAAGGAGUUUUCUUUAUUCUAUUUACUUUCAUUAAAUGACCGUGCUACAGGUUUCAAAGAAUCUUAAGAUUGAUUUUUGAAAGAUCACAAUAUUAAAAGUAUAACUGGAAAACCUAUGUUGAAAUCAACCAAACAUGUCGUGGACUGAAUGAUAACCUUUUCUUUCUUCAUAUAGGCUGAUCAGCUGACCGAAGAACAGAUUGCUGAAUUCAAGGAAGCCUUCUCCCUAUUUGAUAAAGAUGGCGAUGGCACCAUCACAACAAAGGAACUUGGAACUGUCAUGAGGUCACUGGGUCAGAACCCAACAGAAGCUGAAUUGCAGGAUAUGAUCAAUGAAGUGGAUGCUGAUGGUAAUGGCACCAUUGACUUCCCCGAAUUUUUGACUAUGAUGGCUAGAAAAAUGAAAGAUACAGAUAGUGAAGAAGAAAUCCGUGAGGCAUUCCGAGUCUUUGACAAGGAUGGCAAUGGUUAUAUCAGUGCAGCAGAACUACGUCACGUCAUGACAAACUUAGGAGAAAAACUAACAGAUGAAGAAGUAGAUGAAAUGAUCAGAGAAGCAGAUAUUGAUGGAGACGGACAAGUCAACUAUGAAGAAUUCGUACAGAUGAUGACUGCAAAAUGAAGACCUACUUUCAACUCCUUUUUCCCCCCUCUAGAAGAAUCAAAUUGAAUCUUUUACUUACCUCUUGCAAAAAAAAGAAAAAAGAAAAAA